UGUUCCCAACACUCGCCACCUCACCUGCCAGUCAGCUGAGUGGCACAGUCAGGACCAGAGAGCAGGAAUUGCUCCACUGACACACUUUCCAUUGAGCGAAGAAGGGGGCGGGUUUGUGAGAAGAAACGCAAUCUGGUUUCUUGCAGCUUUUAAGAAACAGGUGACCAGUUGUGAGGAGGAGGAGUAGGAGAUUUUUAGAAGCUGUGCAACAUCUGGAGAAAGCUGCAUGGACAUCUAGCGAAUGCAUCUCCCUGUCACCACGAAGCGGCUGCACAUCCAUCCGGUGUUUGACUGCAUCGUCACUGACCUCCUGACCCUCAAUCUUAUGUAACCAUGGCAAUACCCAAAUUAGAACACGGAGCUUGGAAAGAAGCAGGCGCUUAUAGCUUCGCAUUGAGGCACAUAACUCUGAACCAGCUUUCCAGAUUAAGUCAGAUGAACGCGUGCGUGAGUGUGUGUGUGUAUGUGUGUGUGUGCAGAGCUUGUAUAAGAUGA